rnacentral:rRNA from 1 species
ACGCUCGACACCUAUGGGAGGCAGCAGUGGGGGAUAUUGCACAAUGGGGGAAACCCUGAUGCAGCAACGCCGCGUGAAGGAAGAAGGUCUUCGGAUUGUAAACUUCUGUCCUCAGGGAAGAUAAUGACGGUACCUGAGGAGGAAGCUCCGGCUAACUACGUGCCAGCAGCCACGGUAAUCUGAGCGGGCUGGCAAGGC